rnacentral:rRNA from 1 species
CGAACGGGUGAGUAACGCGUGAGGAACCUGCCUCAAAGAGGGGGACAACAGUUGGAAACGACUGCUAAUACCGCAUAAGCCCACGGCUCGGCAUCGAGCAGAGGGAAAAGGAGCAAUCCGCUUUGAGAUGGCCUCGCGUCCGAUUAGCUAGUUGGUGAGGUAACGGCCCACCAAGGCGACGAUCGGUAGCCGGACUGAGAGGUUGAACGGCCACGUUGGGACUGAGACACGGCCCAG